rnacentral:lncRNA from 1 species
AUGAUUUAGGGCCGGCCACUGUAACACCUCCUGCUCAGAGGACCGAGUCCUCGGGCUUAGGAAGAGUACAGCAGAGUGGCCUACAGGACAGCCCCCAAGGCUCCUAGCCCUGUCCUGGCCAGUGUCUGGGCAUAGCCUUUCUCUACAGUUCUUAGAUUACAAACUUGAGAUUCAGGGAAUUUCAGUCAACAGCAGGUAGAAUGAAUACAUACUUGGUUACCAGCCUAAUAAUGUGAAUUGCUACAUUUACUCUUAUUAUGUAAGAACACAAAGACUUUAUGCAGAUACUUUAACUGUAAAUUAAUGGAAAUGUUGAAUUUUUUAAGGAAGGGAAAACAAAAUCUUAUUCACUUAUUAUGCAGUCAGUCAGUGAAUGUUUGUUUUAAAGAUGAUACUAGAGCAGCUCUGAGGAGAGAGCCCAGAUGGGCCAGUGUGGAAGUUAGGAGGCUCAUCUGGUUGUCUCUCCUAGUGCUGGGCAAGGAGGAGAGGGAAUCCAAGCUCACACAGUCAUUACUCGAUGACAAGUGCAAUGGGGUAUGGGGAAGAUUUAUUUUCAGAGCCGGGACUUGAUGGUUAUAAACAAAGUUGCUUUUAAUGAUGGAAUUUAUAGACAGAUGUUCCAAAAGAUGUGAAUAGGAGCCACAAUAGGAAGUUUAUUCAGAAUAAAGUAGAUACUUAGGUUAAUGAGUGUUAUAAUUUGAUUCCUUAGACUGGGACUUUAAUUGAACUUCAUUAUAUCUCCAGGAAACACACAGAGCCUCCGGAUUAGGAAAAGCCAUUUUUUGGAUUUUGCCUGCCACAAACAGACAUAUUCUAAACAGUGCUACUAAAGUUUAGACUGUUCAAAUAUUUUAUUUUCUCUGACAACUACUUUUUAUGAUGAUGAACAAUUAAGACCAUUUAAAAUAUGGGAGUACAAAUAUUUUUUUGAAUUUAAUCUUAACUUGCAAAAAACAAAUUUGCAGUGCUUGGGUUAUUUCUAGACAGACUUCGUUCGGUGUCAAUUUAAAACCACCAUAAUUUUUUAUAUUCUUUCCAAUAGAAUUCAUAACAGCUUCUGCAGUUUUCUUAAACUACAAAAAAUAAAAUAAAAAAUAAAAAAUAAAAUAAAAGUGCUGCAAUGAUGAACAAAGAAUUAUAAAAAAACCUACUUUUGUAUCUUUAUUUUGGAAUUUCUUGUUCUAUUAUAAAUAUGGAAGUAUCCCUAUUUCAGAAGACAUAUUUUGUUAAAAAUGAAUUGUACAUAUUUAAAUAAGUAUUUUUGCACAGGUCUUUUUUUCUGAUAUCCUGUUUUGGUACAAUUGAGAUCAUCUAGUAUUUAUUUAUUAAUUAAUAAAAAUAAAUACCUUUUUAUAAUUUGAAGUGGUUCACUGCCAAGCCAGUAGUUUAGAACCUGCCUCCUUUACAGUUAAGGGAUGCCUCUGUUGUGUGGGAGUCGCUGUCCCUUUUAGUGUCUUGGGAGUGGUUUUAUACAGAUGAAGCGGGCACGGCGUCUCUGCUGCCUGAUUUCCAAAUAGACUACAUGGAGCUAAGUGACACACUGCUUUUCCUUGUUUAGUGAGUGUGUGAGUGUGUGUGUGUGUGUGUGUGUGUGUGUGUGUGUGUGUAUGAGAGAGAGGAGAGAGAGAAGGGGGCAGUGAGUGUUCCCACUUGCCCGCUUGCUCUCUGAGCACACCCGUGUUAUUAGUAUAUGAUGUGGUUUAAAACUAAUGAGGAAACAAACAAAACACACUGAAAGUGCCUGAACCUAGUUUAAGCUCAGACAGACAUCUUUAAAGACUUGAAUGCUGAGUUGAACUUUUGGAGUUUGCUUUUUCCACCUAAAUAUUAUUUCUUAAAGUUUUAGGGAAGAAGUUAAAAGCCACCAAGACUGGUGAUUUUUAUAAGGUAUUUUAAAAUUGAGACCUUUUGGUUCACAGUAAUUUAACUGGCAAUGGACUACCCAGUGCCACCAAGGGUUAUAAACUGUUGUCAGCCAGCAACUGUUUUGUUAUUCACAGUUUAAGAUAGGAUAUUUAAAAUAUUUUGUAUUAAAAAAUACAAGAAGUACCUCUGAGAACAUUGAAAAAAUGUUUUAAUUUGAAAAACAAAAAAGUAACUUAUAAAGGCAGCUGUCUUCCUGUAAGAGUUCUGUUGCCAAUGGACUUCUUCAUGUCUCCAUGCUGUCCUGGGUUGGGGAAGUUAGGCUUUGAAAAGUGAUUGUUGAACGUUUUACUGUUUAAGAGAGUAAUCAUUUUUACAUCUUAUGUAAGACAUUGUACGUUCUUCAGAUCACUUAGGUGAGCACUACAUACUGUCAGUGAAUGCAGGGCCUUGAAAGGAACUUUUUUUUUGAGCUUGUUCAUUAAAGCAAUCUCCUGUGUUAAAAUGUGUGGCUAGUUUGAUCCAUGUGUACCCAUAAUCCAGAGCGUCUCAGCUGGACUGUGUGUGGCUGCUGUGUAGAAAUGAACAAAUGUCAAGCGUAGAAAAUGACUUUGGAUAUUUAAAGGAGAAGAAAUAUAUAGUCUAUUUGUUUUAUAACAAGUUUCUGUAAAUAAAAUAAUUUAUACU